rnacentral:rRNA from 1 species
AAGGGCACCACAAGAACGCGUGGAGCAUGUGGCUUAAUUUGACUCAACGCGGGGAAUCUUACCGGGUCCGGACACACUGAGGAUUGACAGGCGUUUACUUGUUUUGCGGCUUUCGUGGGGUUUCGGCUUCGUGGGAGCUUGCAUUGCAAGUAUAGCAAAUAUGCUAGUCCUUUCAUGAUUGUGUGAUAGGUGGUGCAUGGCCGUUCUUAGUUCGUGGAGUGAUCUGUCUGCUUAAUUGCGUUUCACAUAUAUGAACGACAGGGUCCCGCCUGUGCUUGUGGUACGCCACGAGUACGGCUUUUAUGUGGACUUCUAAACGUUCUGAAGGCAACGAACGUGACCGCAACCUCUAGUUGCUCGUCUUCAAGGUGGGGGCGUGUGCUUUUUUUAGUGCUCGUUCUGCCUCUACGCACGAUGCUAACUAGAGGGACCGCUAGUAACUUUCAAACAGAGGAAGGUUGCGGCAAUAACAGGUCUGUGAUGCCCUUAGAUGUUCCGGGCUGCACACGUGCUACAAUGAUUGUUGCAAUAAGCAUCUCUCCCAUUGUAUGUCCUCUUCUUUUAUCUUCGGAUAGGAAGGGUGACACCACAUUACCUACCGCGUUUUAGUGUGUUGGUCUUCCUCCCUUGGUCUUCGGAUUGGGGGUAGGGGGCUGGUCGCUGAUCUGCUGGUUUGUGUUUUGUGUCGACCUACUUCGAAAGUGUUUAGGCAAUCACUUAGAAGUAACAACCCAGUUUCCCGCCACUUUUAUACGUCUCUUGUUGCUGCUCCCCAUUUCACUCAGCCCUCACGGUCGUUUAAAAGGGGGGUUUAUAUGUAGCCUUGAUGAUGUCGUGCUCCAUUAAUUCGUUGUGGGGACAGACCAUUGCUAAUUGUUGGUCUCGGUCUCAACUAGGAAUGCCUUGUACGGGUC